UAAUAUAUUGGUCGAUGCACACUGCAAAGAAGGGAGGACAAUAGAUGCAGAAAAUGUGAUUAAAAUUAUGAUCCAGAAAGGUGUGCCUCCUGAUUCAAUCACAUACAAUUCACUGAUGGAUGGAU
rnacentral:miRNA from 1 species